CAAGUCGAACGGUAACAGGAAGAAGCUUGCUUCUUUGCUGACGAGUGGCGGACGGGUGAGUAAUGUCUGGGAAACUGCCUGAUGGAGGGGGAUAACUACUGGAAACGGUAGCUAAUACCGCAUAACGUCGCAAGACCAAAGAGGGGGACCCUCGGGCCUCUUGCCAUCGGAUGUGCCCAGAUGGGAUUAGCUUGUUGGUGGGGUAACGGCUCACCAAGGCGACGAUCCCUAGCUGGU
rnacentral:rRNA from 1 species